UAUUUGCAUGCGGCUAAGAAAAAACAACAAAGACGUUCACAAGAUAUGCUAACAAGAUCUGGCACCGGACACAUAGCCCUUGGCUUUCUCCGGGAGGACCCCAGCGCGCGCGUGCGUUGCUGCUAGUGCACCAGCACUUCGCCGGCCACACAGUGGAGGACCCCGACGCGCGUGUUGCUGCUGCCGCUGGUGUGCUGUUCAUGGCCGCGACGGCUCGCUCCUGUGCCUUCCGGCGUCCAUGGUCGCCAUGCAGAAGCUCACGACCACCACAUCCACAUCCUGACGCCCCCGCCAUGGUCACCACAUCCGUCUCUUGCCGUCGUUGGUGACGCCGUGAUCACGGCGACCUCUCCAUGGCCGGUCCUCUCGGUCCUGUCGGUCCGGCUCGGGCUUCGUCGCCGCCGGUCCGGUCCCUGGAAACAGGACCGCGAGGCUGGUCGGUCCGGUCCGGCUCGGUCCGCCGGCGGCCGGUCCAACUGGCGGCUCGGUCAAGGCCCGGACCGUGUCCACCCUGACUCACCACCACGGACGUCGGAACUGCUCCAAUGGAAAGGUUGGAUGCUCACAUGGAAGAAGUGAUCUGAUUUUGCUCUCUCUCAUCUCUCUUUGUAGAUUUUUGUUCAUGCUGGGAUGUGUUCAAGUGUUGAUUUUUGUUCAUGUGUGGAAGCUGGGCUGUGUCUAUAUGUACAUUUUUGUUCAUGCAAGAAUUUUUUUAUUUACACUCAUUAGAUUAUGUUAUUCUCAUGUGUAGCUCGUCAUUUAUCCAAAAUAUUGUUCUUCCAUUUGGGGCUUUAGUUGCAGAUUCAUGCUUAAAAUUAUAUUGUUCAGACGCAUCUUUGCGUGCUUGUUUUGCUUUAACCCGUCGCCUAGCCGUGAAGCACUCUGCUGCAGCCUCUCACUUCACCGUCGACGACACUCUGCUCCAACCCGUCACUUCGAUGUGAAGCCCUCUGCUGCAGCCUCUCACUUCACCGUAGACGACACACUGCUCCAACCCGUCUCUGUCCAGUCCCAGACAAACCUGUUGUAAAGAAGUGCUUAUAAUUUCUCAUGCCCUCAACUACUAUUUUAGCUUUAGUAUGCUCUGGGUAUAAGCAUGGCCGCUACAAUGGUCAGUACCAAGGGCAGUGUCCUCCUGCUGGCGGGGUUCCAAAGUGGAUGUGGAACGCCAUGACCAAGAUCUUCAAAUGUCCAAUGUUUCAUAGACUAUAUCCAUGACAGAGGAACGACCGAUAUAUUGUUAAAAGAAUGAAAGUAUGCCCUGCCUGAAGAUUUUAGCUUUCUUUCUCUUGAGAAGAUAGAAGCUCUAAUGAUUUGGAUUACUUCAAGAAGGACAUAUAAGCACAAAAUAACAAAAAGAUGACCAUGAAGGCUAGAGCCACCGAUGCAGAGAAGAACGUGCAAGAGCUGAAUGCUAAGCCGGAUAGACUUCAAAAGACAAACGGCGAGCAAACGGUUAGGAUUCAAAAGACUAAAAGUGUUCUUAAAGGUGCAGAGGAGGAGCUGAUGAAGGUGCAGUCAGAAGCAACACCAAAAUCAGAGCAGCUCAGAGAGAAAGAAAAGCAGCCGAAGGGGCGCCUCCCACCUGGUACCACCCAACUUCCUCUUAAGCGGCGCCACCCGGUGGCGCCCCAACCGCUAGUUACAAUGUUGUGUGGCUGCUAGCUCUAGUCCCAUGCGAUUCUUCUCCACUCUUAGCUUUAGUUUCUACAUACGUCAUGUGUGGAAAGAAGAUGACUUGGCUUAACAGCGAAGCCCAAUUGCGUUGCAGAUCAUAAGUAGAGGGGGACCAAGGCGAUAUUAUUGUGAUUUACCAGAGGAACGAUAUUUCCCAACUUAGAGAGAAUAGAGAUUAUCUUGUCUCAUUAAUUCAGAAUAUUAUCGGUCAAUAUUACA